GGCAGGGUGGUCUAGUGGUCUGAGUGUUAGACUGCAACUCUGGAGAUCAAGGUUCGAUUCCCUGCUUGGCUA